rnacentral:rRNA from 1 species
GAUGAACGCUGGCGGCGUGCCUAAUACAUGCAAGUCGAGCGAACGGACGAGAAGCUUGCUUUUCUGAUAUUAGCGGCGGACGGGUGAGUAACACGUGGAUAACCUACCUAUAAGACUGGGAUAACUUCGGGAAACCGGAGCUAAUACCGGAUAAUAUUUUGAACCGCAUGGUUCAAAAGUGAAAGACGGUCUUGCUGUCACUUAUAGAUGGAUCCGCGCUGCAUUAGCUAGUUGGUAAGGUAACGGCUUACCAAGGCAACGAUGCAUAGCCGACCUGAGAGGGUGAUCGGCCACCCUGGAACUGAGACACGGUCCAGACUCCUACGGGAGGCAGCAGUAGGGAAUCUUCCGCAAUGGGCGAAAGCCUGACGGAGCAACGCCGCGUGAGUGAUGAAGGUCUUCGGAUCGUAAAACUCUGUUAUUAGGGAAGAACAUAUGUGUAAGUAACUGUGCACAUCUUGACGGUACCUAAUCAGAAAGCCACGGCUAACUACGUG